rnacentral:lncRNA from 1 species
UGACCUCGUGGCUCCUCUGGGCCCCUCCGGCCGCAGUUGACGAGACCCGGCUCCCUCCUCCUCUCCAUCCUGAACACCUCCAAUACCUCGCUCUAAUCAAACCGCUCUGCUCUCCGCACCCCUGCCUUUGAUCUGCAUAAUAUGCCUCCUCCUCCUCUUCAUCUCCCUUCUCCAUUUAUCACAUCAUGUGUGAAUGCAGAACAUCAGUGAAAUGUUGUAGAAGGUUCGCCAUAGUCUCCUGUGUACAACAUGCCCAUGCCAAGAUCCUGCUGCUGUACCUUUAGCCGUGACAAGUCGGCCUCUGCACCAGCUGUGCCCAUGGGGCGUCAUCAGUCGUAACAAGAGUCGGUGUGCCCGCUUCAGCGCAACCCCAUUGUGGUGUUAGAGGAUAAUAACACUCUUCUUCCUUUUGUCAGUGUGUUUUGCUGGAUGAUAAACAGAGGGGAUGAAGGACCGGCAGAGGAGCUCAGGCUCAAAGAGGUGAGUUUGUGAAAUCACAGCACAGAAGAAGGUGCAGUUGCCUGGUGUGUGCACUGAUUGAAGCUCCUCCAGGCAACAGCCGCAGCAAACCUGAGCCCGUCGAGCAGCAUCGGCAGGAGUGAUGACUGGCUGCUCGGGGAAGGGUCUCUCAGGUCACUAUAGGAGGUUAUGUUAAUUUGGUUGUUAAUGACUUCCUUUUUGAGUGAUAAUUGAUCAGCUUCAUUACCAUAUUCCUCUGUAAUGCUAUGUCACUAGGGUAAAGCUCUGCCUAAUGAAUGCUCCAUUUGAUUUCUGAAAUAAUGAACUAAUUAGACUAAUUAAAAUCAAUAGAGGUGCCAAUACAAGGUUAGGCAUCAGACGGCGGUCUCUAUCUGUGCUCUGCCCGAGUCACCAGUUCAGUUUAAAGGAACCUAAUGCUGAUUUAUGGGCUCUUGAUGGUCAUUAGUUAGAAUAAAUUGCACCGAGGAGCCAAGACAGCAUUAUUCAAGUAUAGGAUACUAAGUGCAUUGUAAGGUCAGCAAUAAGGGCAAACCUACAUAUGUAGUUGAAUGCCCUUGUAAACCUUUGUUAAUAUAUCAGGUCAGAAUGGCAUCGGACAGCAUCGCCUAUCUUUGCACACAGAGAUUAGCUGUGCUAGUAUAGACACUGCAGUGAAUGAGAUUCAAAUAACAACAUAUUAUAAAGAUGUUCUUUGAUUUUUAUCGAGACAGCCGUGUCUGCAAUUAUUAAAGACCUUUUUGAAGCAAGGUCACAAACAAUAUGUUGUGAUUGCAUCAGACUGAGCGACAGCUUAUUGCUCUUUCAUUAGUUUUCCUCUGUGAUCGCCAUGGGAUUUUACUUUGGAAGCCACAUUUAGGGCAGAUACAUCCCCCUCCACCCCACCCCAUGUGCGACAGUCUGAAAACCCUAAUAAGAAGGUAGAGAAUUAUGUAAAAUCCUGACUAUUUCUGACAGAGGCAGGCCAAGCCAAUGUGUAUAGGAAGGGCCACCGCUGACCUAAAUUCAUGCAUUAAUCUAAG